rnacentral:rRNA from 1 species
GGUUAAGUUAAUAAGGGCGCACGGUGGAUGCCUUGGCACUAGGAGCCGAAGAAGGACGGGACUAACGCCGAUAUGCUUUGGGGAGCUGUAAGUGAGCUUUGAUCCAGAGAUUUCCGAAUGGGGAAACCCGG